GACGAACGCUGGCGGCGUGCCUAAUACGUGCAAGUUGAGCGCUGAAGGUUGGUACUUGUACCAACUGGAUGAGCAGCGAACGGGUGAGUAACGCGUGGGGAAUCUGCCUUUGAGCGGGGGACAACAUUUGGAAACGAAUGCUAAUACCGCAUAAAAACUUUAAACACAAGUUUUAAGUUUGAAAGAUGCAAUUGCAUCACUCAAAGAUGAUCCCGCGUUGUAUUAGCUAGUUGGUGAGGUAAAGGCUCACCAAGGCGAUGAUACAUAGCCGACCUGAGAGGGUGAUCGGCCACAUUGGGACUGAGACACGGCCCAAACUCCUACGGGAGGCAGCAGUAGGGAAUCUUCGGCAAUGGACGAAAGUCUGACCGAGCAACGCCGCGUGAGUGAAGAAGGUUUUCGGAUCGUAAAACUCUGUUGGUAGAGAAGAACGUUGGUGAGAGUGGAAAGCUCAUCAAGUGACGGUAACUACCCAGAAAGGGACGGCUAACUGCGUG
rnacentral:rRNA from 1 species